UGUAGUCAUAUGCUUGUCUCAAAGAUUAAGCCAUGCAUGUCUAAGUAUAAACACCUUUGUACUGUGAAACUGCGAAUGGCUCAUUAAACCAGUUAUAGUUUAUUUGAUGGUGCUUACUACAUGGAUAACCGUGGUAAUUCUAGAGCUAAUACAUGCGCAAAAGACCCGACUGUUUGGGAGGGUUGUAUUUAUUAGAUAAAAAACCAAUCGGCUUCGGCUGUUCUCGGUGACUCAUAAUAACUGUGCGAAUCGCAUGGCCUUGUGCCGGCGACGAAUCAUUCAAAUUUCUGCCCUAUCAACUUUCGAUGGUAAGGUAUUGGCUUACCAUGGUUGCAACGGGUAACGGGGAAU
rnacentral:rRNA from 1 species